AGGGAAAAAUCACACAUGUCUGUGAAUCACUCCUGGCCAUGAUUUGCUGCUAGGUAGAGGGAAAAGUCAUAUGAGUUCUUUCAGACGGAAACACUGGAGUGUGAGUCAAACUAAUGCUGGAAGUUCAGUCUGAGCACAGAGCAGGAAGUACAGUAGAGAAAGGAGCGGCAUUUUAAGUUAGAGCCCAGCCAAUUCUCUGGGAAUGGAGGGUAGAAUCCCCCACUUCUGACACCAGUGUUCUAAAGGGGAACAAAAACCUCCAUGGGGUCUUUAGAGGAGACUGAUGAGCCCAGGUUACACUAACUUAGCCUGUUUGUCUCCACGAAAAGAGAAAAAAGAAGCUCACUUGUGUAACUUCUCCAGACAAGACUGGAUUUCUAUUGGGCCCUCCCUUCCCUUUGAUUGGCUAUGGGAAAGAAAGGGGACACUCCUGAGUACUUUUGUGUACUCUGGCUCCAGGCAAGGGCAGGACAAGCCGUUGCAGAGGCAAGGACCUACCAGAAAGUAAAAUAUCUCCUUGGGAACAGACUUCAGCCUCUGUGACCUUCCCUGCGUUCCAAAGGGCAGAUUGGAACAGUUGCUAGUUGGGGAAGGGAGGGGAUGCUGAGCAGCCAAGAAACCACCUGAGGCACAGCCAACCAGUGGUUGCUGCUGACAAGUACAGUUUCAACAUGAAUGUUGGUAAAUAUUUUCCUUCACAUGAACUGCAACGUCCUGCACUGUGUAAGUUGGAAGUGUCCGGCAUAAUGAGGUGACACAGCCGAGAAGAGGAAACAUUGGCGAGAGCAUCUCUAUGCCUCAAAGGCUUUGGACCAGUCUCUUUGGCUUCUUCCAUUGAUAGCUAACGUUGUUAGAGGGAGCUUUUACCCUUCAACGUGGUCCUGAAAGAGUUCAAGUCACAGCCUUGUCAUUUGCUUCCUGUGCGAGCAUGGCAUGUUUCUUAAUUUCUCCAAUCUUCAGUUUUUCAAUGUAUAAAAUAGGUAUGAUAAUAAGAGUAAGUUACUAAAAUAAUUGAAUGAUACCCAUAAAUUAAUCAGCACAGUACCUGUACAGAACAAGCAUCCAACUGAAUGAGAGCUAGUUCUAAUUUUGUUGUUGUUGUGUGUGUACGUGUAUAUUUUUACAGGGACCAAAUGGUCUGGAAAUAAUAAAAGAAUACAAGCUAUACAACUAUGGAGGAUAGUAUGGAGGUUCCUUAAAAAAACUAAAAAUAGAGUUAUCAUAUAAUCCUUCAGCCUGAUUCCUGGGCA